UGUUUCACCGGGAUAUCCAAACACGAGAAAACAAUGUAUGAAAAGUUUUCAUACAUUGUUUUCCAGUGUUUGGAUAUCCCGGUGAGACA
rnacentral:miRNA from 1 species